UUUACUUCUUAUCUCUGAGUGGGUUUUAUGGAUGGGCCGUCCAUAUGGUAUCAUUGUACAAUCCACCUAUUUGUACCACAUAGCAGGUCUAGUGG